rnacentral:rRNA from 1 species
GGUCAGGAUGAACGCUAGCUACAGGCUUAACACAUGCAAGUCGAGGGGCAGCAGGGCAAUAGCUUGCUAUUGCUGCUGGCGACCGGCGCACGGGUGAGUAACGCGUAUCCAACCUACCCCGCGGUCAGGGACAGCCCGGCGAAAGUCGAAUUAAUACCUGAUGCAGUCAGAAGAGGGCAUCUGAUUUUGACGAAAGAUUGAUCGCCUCGGGAUGGGGAUGCGUAGGAUUAGGCAGGCGGCGGGGUAACGGCCCACCGCGCCGACGAUCCUUAGGGGUUCUGAGAGGAAGGUCCCCCACACUGGUACUGAGACACGGACCAGACUCCUACGGGAGGCAGCAGUGAGGAAUAUUGGUCAAUGGGCGUGAGCCUGAACCAGCCAAGUAGCGUGCAAGGACGACGGCCCUAUGGGUUGUAAACUGCUUUUAUGCGGGGAUAAAGUGCGGCACGUGUGCCGUUUUGUAGGCACCGCAUGAAUAAGGACCGGCUAAUUCCGUGCCAGCCGCAGC